rnacentral:rRNA from 1 species
UACGUAGGGGGCAAGCGUUAUCCGGAUUUAUUGGGCGUAAAGAGCUCGUAGGCGGUUUGUCGCGUCUGCCGUGAAAGUCCGGGGCUCAACUCCGGAUCUGCGGUGGGUACGGGCAGACUAGAGUGAUGUAGGGGAGACUGGAAUUCCUGGUGUAGCGGUGAAAUGCGCAGAUAUCAGGAGGAACACCGAUGGCGAAGGCAGGUCUCUGGGCAUUAACUGACGCUGAGGAGCGAAAGCAUGGGGAGCGAACAGG